rnacentral:rRNA from 1 species
GACAGAGGGUGCAAACGUUGCUCGGAAUUACUGGGCGUAAAGCGCGUGUAGGCGGCUGGGUAGGUCCGCUGUGAAAACUCGAGGCUCAACCUCGAGACGUCGGCGGAAACCAUCCAGCUAGAGUCCGGAAGAGGAGAGUGGAAUUCCUGGUGUAGCGGUGAAAUGCGCAGAUAUCAGGAAGAACACCCGUGGCGAAAGCGGCUCUCUGGGACGGUACUGACGCUGAGACGCGAAAGCGUGGGGAGCGAACAGG